rnacentral:rRNA from 1 species
GAUGAACGCUAGCGGGAGGCCUAACACAUGCGAGCCGAGCGGUAGAGUUCCUUCGGGAACUUGAGAGCGGCGUACGGGUGCGUAACACGUGUGCAACCUACCUUUAUCUGGGGGAUAGCCUUUCGAAAGGAAGAUUAAUACCCCAUAAUAUAAUGAUUGGCAUCAAUUAUUAUUGAAAACUCCGGUGGAUAGAGAUGGGCACGCGCAAGAUUAGAUAGUUGGUGAGGUAACGGCUCACCAAGUCAAUGAUCUUUAGGGGUCCUGAGAGGGAGAUCCCCCACACUGGUACUGAGACACGGACCAGACUCCUACGGGAGGCAGCAGUGAGGAAUAUUGGACAAUGGGUGAAAGCCUGAUCCAGCCAUCCCGCGUGAAGGAUGACGGUCCUAUGGAUUGUAAACUUCUUUUGUACAGGGAUAAACCUACUCUCGUGAGGGUAGCUGAAGGUACUGUACGAAUAAGCACCGGCUAACUCCGUG